GCUAGCUUUAAUCCGUAACAGGAUUAGCGAUCGGCACAGGUUAAAAUUAUUACCAGGCGGGUACUCGCCUGCUCCAAGUUCUCAAGCUAAACCAUUAAACAGGCAUAUUUUUGUUAAGCCAGUGUGGUUGGGAAAGUACCGGCUGAUAACAUUAGCGAGACAAAAUUAACCCGAUUAUUCGG
rnacentral:ncRNA from 1 species